AGGUCCGGCCGCUGCUCGGGCCAAGUAAACACCGGGCUGGGAAAGCUCGCUGCGGAGCCGCUCGGGGGCAAGCCAGCCCCGCCACGCGCGCCUCCGCGGCCCCGGGAAGUCAGGGGCGACCGCUGCCUGGGCAGUGACGGCCCCUCUCUGGGCAGUGACGGCCCCUCCCGGGAACGCCGGGCCCUCGCGGUGCCCUCGGUGCUACCACGACCUUGGGAAGGAACAUGCGUGGCGCGCGCUCGCUCUCACUUUUCUCUUUCCCGUUUCCUUUCCCAUCUCUCUCUUUCCUUCCUUCCUUUUCUUUCUGAACUUCUUUGCCCCCUGACCCUGCCCUUUCCACCUUUCCCAGAAGAAAUUAUUACCUGCUCUUGAGUUAUUGAUCAAGUGGCAGGUACCCUGCCUGCUCCCCCUUCCAUCCACCCACCCCAUGGGAUAAGGCCUUGGGAAACCCAGCUUCUUGUCAGGUUGCUCUGGGCAAUGUUGAUCAUCACCCGCCUUAUCGGAAGGUAUGGAGAGGGGAGGAAGUUCUGGGGCCUAGAGUCAGCUGCUCAGGUUCAAAUCCUAGCUCCCCACUUGCUGGCCGGGUGGCCUUGGGCUGGUUUCCUUGCUUCAAGAUCCUCAGUGUUUUCAUCAGUAUAACGGGAACGAUCAUGGUACCUAGCUCCAAGGUCCUCCCCGGGGUUCCAUGGGAAGUACUUAGCACCUAGAAAGUUCUCUGUAAAUGUUUGUUCUUACUAUUAUUGCAUGUGUGAAGCCCAACACCUAGAAAGUUCUCUGUAAAUGUUUGUUCUUACUAUUAUUGCAUGUGUGAACGGCCCUCUAAGCCUGGCCCCACUCUCAAAUGGCCCAUACAAUCCCUAAUCACCCGUGUUUCCGGACCAGAGAUUGUAUCGUCUCUGCAGGGGAUAAAGUGAUCCACAUAGUAUCCGCCUCUAGACUGUAGUCAUUUUAUGGACAGAAACAUUGCUUAUUUAUUCCUGUUCCAAAAGCCUAGGAUUUUCCUCCCAUUGGCCUCUCAAUACUGUAAGUGCCUAAGGACACAGGGAGAGAAUGGGGUGGCUUCUGCCCUCUCUGACUUCUUUCUUUGGGAUCAUGGGCAAGGUAGCAUUUGAUCUGGGCCUUGGGCUGAGUGAAGUUCCCCUGGGCAGGGAGUAAAGGACAUGAGAUAGGUGAGCCUGUCACGCUUGGGUAGUGGAGUCAAUUGUGUCCAAAGGUAGCUGGUUUUUUAUUUAUAUUUUUAUUCCUAAUAAAGGCCUCUGGAG
rnacentral:lncRNA from 1 species